rnacentral:lncRNA from 1 species
AUUUAAUCAUAUUUAGCAUAUUAACAUAAACAAUGCAUCUAGAAUAAAUGUAAAUUGUAAUAUAAUGUUAAUAGGUAUUACUAUCUGAAGAUGGCGCCACUAUCCUAUAGCACUAUCACAUAGCUUACAUCUUUUUAUAGAGUUCCACUUGAACUUCUUGACCCCAUAUUGUUGGCAUGUGGAGGAUUAAAUUUAACUAGAGUUUUCUUUGACACAAAAAUAUCUGUUAAAAUAUUCGUUUUAAUGCUAAUAAUUCUGUUUACUGCAUGCUUUAUUAUAUAUAUUUAUAAAAAAAUAUAUAUAAUUAUUACGCUUAAUUACAAAUUACGAUAAGCUGUAUUUUUCAAUAAAUAUUUCAUUAACAAAAUGUAUGUACUUUUUAUUGAGUGCAUAUUACAUAUACUAUUAGUACUAAUCAGAAGGAUGAAGCCAUAUAGCUGCUGCCCCAUGCCGUGUAUAAGCAUUUGCGUACGCUGUUGUUAUCUUAUAUGGCAUCGACAGAUUGAUUUAAUAAAAGGAACACUUGUUUUCAUAACUUUAUCUGAAUGCUUUCUUUAUGCAAUAAGGUAAUGGGAAUUUAUUGUUAUUUGACAAUUUUUGUUUAUUUUACAAUUUCACUAAUAUCGCUAUAUAUUCUAUAAUUUUUAAGAUAGAAAGGUGCGGUUUUUGCUAAAAUUCAUUACUUGUAAAUACUUUUCAUUUGAUCUAGUCAAAAUUAUUUAUUAAAUUUUUAAUUAUAUAUUAUAUAAUUUGUUACAUUUACUUUUAUAAGUAUAGAAAAUGCAUAAUUGUUAAAAUUUUUCAUUUAAAAUAUGUUGGUUUAGAAAACGAGGGAGCGGCUAAAAUUAAAUGGCACGAUGGCGGCAUCAACCCUAGAACCGGGCCUGUUGUAUGUGAUGA